CAUGCCGUAAACGAUGAGCGCUAGGUGUUGGGGACUUUCCGGUCCUCAGUGCCGCAGCAAACGCAUUAAGCGCUCCGCCUGGGGAGUACGACCGCAAGGUUGAAACUCAAAGGAAUUGACGGGGGCCCGCACAAGCGGUGGAGCAUGUGGUUUAAUUCGAAGCAACGCGAAGAACCUUACCAGGUCUUGACAUCCUGCGCUACACCUAGAGAUAGGUGGUUCCCUUCGGGGACGCAGAGACAGGUGG
rnacentral:rRNA from 1 species